rnacentral:rRNA from 1 species
GGUGAUUCAUGAUAACUUCUCGAAUCGCAUGGCCUUGCGCCGGCGAUGGUUCAUUCAAAUUUCUUCCCUAUCAACUUUCGAUGUUUGGGUAGUGGCCAAACAUGGUUGCAACGGGUAACGGAGGGUUAGGGCCCGACCCCGGAGAAGGAGCCUGAGAAACGGCUACUACAUCCAAGGAAGGCAGCAGGCGCGCAAAUUACCCAAUCCCGACACGGGGAGGUAGUGACAAUAAAUACUGAUACAGGGCUCUUUUGGGUCUUGUAAUUGGAAUGAGUACAAUUUAAAUCCCUUAACGAGGAACAAUUGGAGGGCAAGUCUGGUGCCAGCAGCCGCGGUAAUUCCAGCUCCAAUAGCGUAUAUUAAAGUUGUUGUGGUUAAAAAGCUCGUAGUUGAACCUUGGGCCUGGCUGGCCGGUCCGCCUCACCGCGUGUACUGGUCCAGCCGGGCCUUUCCCUCUGUGGAACCCCAUGCCCUUCACUGGGUGUGGCGGGGAAACAGGACUUUUACUUUGAAAAAAUUAGAGUGCUCCAGGCAGGCCUAUGCUCGAAUACAUUAGCAUGGAAUAAUGAAAUAGGACGUGCGGUUCUAUUCUGUUGGUUUCUAGGACCGCCGUAAUGAUUAAUAGGGACAGUCGGGGGCAUCAGUAUUCAAUUGUCAGAGGUGAAAUUCUUGGAUUUAUUGAAGACUAACCACUGCGAAAGCAUUUGCCAAGGAUGUUUUCAUUAAUCAGGAACGAAAGUUAGGGGAUCGAAGACGAUCAGAUACCGUCGUAGUCUUAACCAUAAACUAUGCCGACUAGGGAUCGGACGAUGUUAUUUUUUGACUCGUUCGGCACCUUACGAGAAAUCAAAGUGCUUGGGCUCCAGGGGGAGUAUGGUCGCAAGGCU